UACGAAGGGGGCUAGCGUUGUUCGGAAUCACUGGGCGUAAAGCGCACGCAGGCGGAUCGUUAAGUCAGGGGUGAAAUGCCGAGGCUCAACCUCGGAACUGCCUUUGAUACUGGCGAUCUUAGAGUCCGGGAGAGGUGAGUGGAACUCCGAGUGUAGAGGUGAAAUUCGUAGAUAUUCGGAAGAACACCAGUGGCGAAGGCGGCUCACUGGCCCGGUACUGACGCUCAGGAGCGAAAGCAUGGGGAGCGAACAGG
rnacentral:rRNA from 1 species